rnacentral:rRNA from 1 species
UACAGAGGUCUCAACCGUUGUUCGGAUUCAUUGGGCGUAAAGGGUGCGUAGGCGGUCGCGCAAGUCGGAUGUGAAAUCUCGGGGCUCAACCCCGAAACUGCAUUCGAUACUGCGUGGCUAGAGUGCUGGAGGGGAGACUGGAAUUUACGGUGUAGCAGUGAAAUGCGUAGAUAUCGUAAGGAAGACCAGUGGCGAAGCGAGUCUCUGGACAGCAACUGACGCUGAGGCACGAAGGCCAGGGGAGCAAACGGG